GACUGCGUACCUUUUGUAUAAUGGGUCAGCGACUUAUAUUUAGUAGCAAGGUUAAGUGAAUAACGGAGCCGUAGCGAAAGCGAGUGUUAACUGCGCGUUUAGUUGCUAGGUAUAGACCCGAAACCCGGUGAUCUAGCCAUGAGCAGGUUGAAGGUUGAGUAACAUCAACUGGAGGACCGAACCCACUAACGUUGAAAAGUUAGGGGAUGACUUGUGGCUGGGGGUGAAAGGCCAAUCAAACCGGGAGAUAGCUGGUUCUCCCCGAAAGCUAUUUAGGUAGCGCCUCGGAUGAAUUCCUUUGGGGGUAGAGCACUGUUUGGGCUAGGGGGUCAUCCCGACUUACCAAACCCAUGCAAACUCCGAAUACCGUGGAGUGCAAUCAUGGCAGACAGACGGCGGGUGCUAACGUCCGUCGUCAAGAGGGAAACAACCCAGACCGCCAGCUAAGGUCCCAAAAUAUUGCUAAGUGGGAAACGAUGUGGGAAGGCAUAGACAGCUAGGAGGUUGGCUUAGAAGCAGCCACCCUUUAAAGAAAGCGUAAUAGCUCACUAGUCGAGU
rnacentral:rRNA from 1 species